UUUUUAUUCAUAAAACAUUUGAUUUUUGACUUAGUCUUGUUUAUGUGUCCUAUUAUUUAUAACUUUUUAAUUUCUUCGAUAGAAACUUUCUGCGUCACUUCCGGUUGAAGCUUCCGGUAAUCACGCCCAGGUGUGUUCAGGUGUUCUCAGGUGUGUAUAUCAUUGUCUCGAGCAGGUAAGCGGUGCGGACCGCGUGCAGCGUGGCAGCAUGUUGGAAGAAGAAGGAGCCGGGGAAGGAAACAUGAAGUCUAGAUACUCAGAACUCUGUUGACGUCUUCCAGGAGGAUCCCCCGUCGGUGGCCGUCUUCCUGCUCAGGUUGGAGACUCAAAGCUUUCUUAAUGUUGUUUUGUUAUGUUUUAGGUCUUAUAGAUGUUUAGACUCAGUUAUUCUAAUCAUUUGACUUCAUCCCUUUUAUAGGAAGGAACAUCAGGUGUUUAAUGAAAUACUACAUUUUAUAAUCCUUAUUUCAUGAAACACCUGAUGUUCCUCCACUCCAAAAAGGAUCAAAUGAUUAAAAUAACUGAGUCUAAACAUCUAUAAAACCUGGAACAUAAUAAAACAUUGAGAAAGCUUUGCAUCUCCUACCCAAUGGGGAUGCCUGUGACACCUUAUUGUGUUGUGCUGAUGUCAUGUCUCGAAUAUUGUAAUAAAACUACUGCUUUA